UCUAGGACAUAUGGCACCCUGAACACACCCAAUCUCAUCUGGCUCAAUUUAAUCAGGGCAGCCUGGUUAGCACUUGGGAUGGAAGACAGAUUUCAGAUAGAGAGUGCUCAGAGGCCCAGUU
rnacentral:rRNA from 1 species